CAGUGAGAGGGAUACCACUAGCAACAAAGUGUGAUGAAAUGGGAGAAGAACAUGCAGCUGCUUAUGAUCGCACUGGAUGGCUUCGCUUCUUCUUGUUCUGCAUCUGGCUUUUGGACAUCGGGCUGAUAUUCACCAUUACAUAUUUGGAAAUAGAUUUGACUAGAAGACUUAAGAAGUUGAAAAACAAAAUGUCUCAAAUCACACAGACUCACGAGUAACACUGGAUGGAUUGGAAGAAUCAGACUCUGCCUUUAUAUCUUGGUU